GUCCAAGAGCCCCUCCUCUCUCAAGCCAGAAUUCCCAGCCUCUCUAAUGAACAGCUCUCCCUCCCUCUCCCACAUGCCUGGCGCUCUGCCUAUUUGCAGCUGAAGGGAAGAAUUAGGCAGCUGCUCCUUCUUCCAGACUCCCAGAUCCUCAUCUUAUCUUCUGUGGCAGCAAACACUCCAGCCUCUGUGAACAAAACCUAUCCUUUACAGUCGUGGAUUGUACUGAUUCAUUCGCUGAUUACACUGGAGCGUGAAUGCAUUUCCAUAUCUGUGUUACUCUGGCCAAUUAUAUGCAUUUGAAGACUUUAUUGCAAAGAGAUUUGCUUUGUUUAAAGGAUUAAGACUCAGAUUAAGGCAAUGGCACCCCACUCCAGUACUCUUGCCUGGAGAAUCCCAUGGACGGAGGAGCCUGGUGGGCUGCCGUCUAUGGGGUUGCACAGAGUCGAACACGACUGAAGCGGCUUAGCAGCAGCAGCAGCAGCAGACUAGUCAGUUUCUCUACCUACUCUUGAUUCCAUAUUAUAAGCUUAUAUUUUCUGUAAGAUUAUCUACUUCACAUUGAUUUUAUAAUUAAUUAUAUAAAAUUAUAUAAAUAAAGUUUGUGC
ensembl:lncRNA